UUCUAUUAGACUUAAUAGGAUUAUUAUUGCAUUUCUACUUACCUUCCACAACUAGGAACUUGGUGCAUUCUCAAAUAAGAAUACAUGUAAUAUGACAUCAUUUUCCAUUUAUUCAAAAUAAAAAUAAAAAUAAUCAAAUUCUAAGACCUCCCGCCUCAAGCUUUCAUGUCGGAUUCACUACUUAUGUUGUAUUACAUGUAUUCUUAGUUGAAAAUAUACUAGGCACCAAAUUAUAGAAGGUAAGUAGAAAUACAACAAUAAUCCUAUCAAGUCUAAUAGAAU
rnacentral:lncRNA from 1 species